GGCUUCAUUGGGUAAUUAUGGAUGCAAGCAGUGCUCCCAGAUAUCGUCCAGCUAUAGACACUUAAAUUGAAGAGCACAGCAUCAGAACUCUGAAGAACUGAUGAGAGGGUGUUGGUACCAACCUGAAGAUACCUAUCUGGUGAGGAAUUACAAUACUUGCUUUCUUUUGACUCUAUGGUCAGUAAGGCACAUAUCAAGAUUCCUGCAGAGGACCCAUCAGCACUGUGUUUGGACUAUAGUUGCUACUGCAGCCAGAAAUCUACUGCAGUUUCUGGACUUCUAAGAAUAGGACUAAGAUGAAAUAAGAAUAAGAUGAAAACAUUUUAUGUCUUUUGCCUCAUAUUCAUGGGUUAAAAAAAGUAAGGGGCAAGACGAAUUCAAGGUGACCAUUUCAGACAGCUAUUAUCUUGCCCAUAAAAUAAUCUACAAACUUGCUAAUGGUGUUACAGUCCAGUCAAUUUCAGCAGUAUGUACAUUCAUGGAUGCAUGGGUCAAACAGCUGUCUUGCCUCUCACAUCUAUAUGUGGCUGCUCUCACACAUUAACUGUGAAUUAAUUCAAGUAUGACACUUGAAAGAUCAUUGAAAUACUCCAUGAAAAAGUUACUUGAUAAAAGAGCAGAAAGCUUAAUUAGGAAAUUAUUCAGAUACUAGUAUAGAAGGAUAAGUCACUAGCAUCCAGGAAGGAAACAGUCUAGCUGUUUUGAGGAAAGGGACAAAUUAAUUAAAAAUUCAACAUUUUCAAAAUGAUAUUAACUAACAAAAUCACGUUUUCCUAGAAUUGGAUUAGGGAGGUGGGAUGGCAGGAGGGGGAAAAAAUGAAACAAAGGAAGAAACCCAAGAACGAUUAUCCCUGGAAGAAAUUUGAAAUUGGUCUUGCUUUGGUUAAAGUUGAAGAAUGUCUGAAAAUGGAAAGAUGCUGGUAAGUCAUAGUUCUUACAAAAAAAAUUCUAUUUGUUUAUGUGCAUGCAUACCAAACAAAGAAAGAAAGCAAGAAACAUCUGUGUAAAUAACGGUAGAAUACAGCAACAUGUUUAGAUCAUUUUAGGAGUUCAAAGAAAAAAUAAAGGAGAAACAAAACUAAUGGAAGGCAAUAAGAAAAACAGUAGAAAAAUAAAACAAUGAAUCUUAAUGUAGCAUAAACACACUCAUUUUCUGUAUUAAUUUUAUUUUUAGUGUUUGUUAUGUUUCUUAACGGGUUAGUAUUUCUUUCCAUAUUUGUAAAGCCAGAUUCACAUUUUGGGCUGCUUAUCACACUGAGAGGUUAGAAAGAUUAAUGUCCUCUUAAAUUUCUAUCUACCUUCUAAAGUGCAGGAUCAAACUUCAUUUUUAGAGCAGACCAUAAUGAUCUCCUAAGUGAAAGUAAGUGGAUAAAAGACACUACUUUCUUCCUCUAGCAUUUCCAUAAGCACUGAUGGCUUUGAUGCCCCAGAGGUUUUCCUUUGUCUUACCUGUCCUCUGGUUUCUGAAAACAGUACUUUGGAGUACUUGGGAGCUGAGGCAUAUUCUACUACGUGAUAUGAACAUAUUUUUAUUAUAUUGAAAUCAGAGAGUUUCUAGCAGCAUACAGAGAAGAGUUCAGGCAAGACAGAAGGAACAGGAACUAGCUGGUGUGGAAGACAGCAGUGCAAAGCCUGGAACACACAAUGUUCAGAAGGAGGAGGCGAUCCCCAGGUAACACUGACCUGCAGAGCACAAGUCCUGGCGAGAAGUCAGAAUUCCCAUGUUUAGCACAAAUAGGAAUAGAUCAAACGGUAGGAGAGAAAGUAGCUUGGAACUUCCAUUGCUUUACUCUUCAUUCCACACACAUGCUUUAUCAGUUUUCUUCCUGGGUUCGGAAAGGUUCAGAAAUAUUGUUGCCUGUAAUUAACUACAGCUUUGUUUCUCAUGAUAAUAUCAAAGAUUUCCAGUUAUUAUUAGCUGAUGGUUUUGUCCCACAGGGGAGAAUUAUGUAGUUUUCAAGACACCCUAAAACAAUUUAGUUCAGAAUAUUAUCGUUAAAAUUGGCCAGUUUGAAAAACAUAAUAGGUCAGGCAGUCAUGGAGCAUGCCUUUAAUCCCAGCACUUCAGAGGCAGAGGCAGGCGGAUUUCUGAGUUCAAGGUCAGCCUGAUUUACAGAGUGAGUUCCAGGAGAUCGAGGGCUACACAGAAAAACCCUGUCUUGAGACAAACAAACAAAC
rnacentral:lncRNA from 1 species